rnacentral:tRNA from 1 species
UCCCUGGUGGCUCAGAGGUAAAGCAUCUGCCUGCAAUGCAGGAGACCCCGGUUCGAUUCCUGGGUCGGGAA